rnacentral:rRNA from 1 species
AAAAAAAAUGAGUUUGAUCC